rnacentral:rRNA from 1 species
AGCAAUUGACAUUAGCGACAGAAGAAGCACCGGCUAACUCCGUGCCAGCAGCCGCGGUAAUACGGAGGGUGCGAGCGUUAAUCGGAAUUACUGGGCGUAAAGGGCACGCAGGCGGUUAAUUAAGUUGGAUGUGAAAUCCCCGGGCUUAACCUGGGAAUGGCAUUCAAGACUGGUUAGCUAGAGUCUUGUAGAGGGGGGCAGAAUUCCAUGUGUAGCGGUGAAAUGCGUAGAGAUGUGGAGGAAUACCGGUGGCGAAGGCGGCCCCCUGGACAAAGACUGACGCUCAUGUGCGAAAGCGUGGCGAGCAAACAGGAUUAGAUACCCUGGUAGUCCACGCUGUAAACGAUGUCGAUUUGGAGGUUGUGGUCAUGAACUGUGGCCUCCGGAGCUAACGCGUUAAAUCGACCGCCUGGGGAGUACGGCCGCAAGGUUAAAACUCAAAUGAAUUGACGGGGGCCCGCACAAGCGGUGGAGCAUGUGGUUUAAUUCGAUGCAACGCGAAGAACCUUACCUACUCUUGACAUCCAGCGAAUCCUUUAGAGAUAGAGGAGUGCCUUCGGGAGCGCUGAGACAGGUGCUGCAUGGCUGUCGUCAGCUCGUGUUGUGAAAUGUUGGGUUAAGUCCCGCAACGAGCGCAACCCUUAUCCUUUGUUGCCAGCGAGUAGAGUCGGGAACUCAAAGGAGACUGCCGGUGAUAAACCGGAGGAAGGUGGGGAUGACGUCAAGUCAUCAUGGCCCUUACGAGUAGGGCUACACACGUGCUACAAUGGCGUAUACAGAGAGAGGCGAGCCAGCGAUGGGGAGCGGAACUCAGAAAGUACGUCGAAGUCCGGAUUGGAGUCUGCAUCUCGACUCCAUGAAGUCGGAAUCGCUAGUAAUCGCGGAUCAGCAUGUCGCGGUGAAUACGUUCCCGGGCCUUGUACACACCGCCCGUCACACCAUGGGAGUGGGUUGCAAAAGAAGUAGGUAGCUUAACCUUUUGGAUGGCGCUUACCACUUUGUGAUUCAUGACUGGGGUGAAGUCGUAACAAGGUAACCGUAGGGGAACCUGCGGUUGGAUCACCUCCUUA